AGAUUGUUUUACAAAUUCCUAAUUGCAAGAAACACUUACAUGAAGAACUUAGUGAAGGCUGCUUCAAUGGGCCCUCUGAGAGAGGCACUUCCUCAGGGAUUUGAAAUCACAAAGCUGAAAAAGGAGGAUAUGAGGCCCGUAACAGUGAAGGUAAUUUACAGCACAUAGAGAAAAUUAAAGAACAGAACCUAUCUAGGAAUACAUAAAUCUCGCUGCACUGCCUCCUUGUACAGUUUAAAAAUGGAACUUUAAUACAUAAAUUGAGAGCGAAUCAAAUUAUUCAUUUGACAGUUUUAACCAUAUACCAUUGUCAGUCUGCUGUAAUCUGCUACAAAAUUACCACAGCCACAGCAAAAGCUACAAACAAAAAUGAUUUAAAAUUGCCUAUUACUUUCACUCCAGAGCUAGUUUACUCCUUUGUUAAAAUUGCCUAUUGCUUUCAUUCCAGAGCUAGUAAUUCAGAAAUGAAUCACCUACCAAAAGCUGGACAACCAAGCAAGUUUUCCUGUCCAUUUAUACUCUCCCCUGAACAACGACCCAUAUGUUGCUGCAAGCCUGUAAACCUUGACAGGACAUUACAGUUAUUUUGAUGUUACAUAAAUCUCCAAAUUCUUCUCUGUUUAAUCUGAACAUAUAGUUGCGCCUACAUGACUGAGCACUACCCAAAACAAAGGAUAUCAUUAAAAAUGAGGAAAAAAAAAAACUACACUACUUACCUGUAAAGUAUUUAAACAUUCACCAAGAUGAAGUAAGGUUCAUCUAACGCCUUUCAGAAUCUAGAUAUUCAAAUCCUCAACUCUUUCCACAAUUGUCACAUAUUUUUUUGAAACAUUUUUCUUAGUGUGAAAAAUAUUUCAGUCAUAUAUCACAAUAAUUGUCACCUUAAUUCACCAGAUUCAGGACUGAAUCAACAAAUAAACUGUCAGGACAACUUUUUCCUUUCUCCAGGAACCGCGUGUAGGAAAAAAGACAGGGUAACCACUCCCCAGAAGAAUUAAGCGUGAAUCACAAAUUAGAGGAGACCGCUCGACAACACAAUUAAAAUCGAAAUUCAAAAUUCUCCCAAACAAAAGCAAGUUGCUAAGAAACAUGAUCCGAACUCGAAACCCUAACAAGUCUCUAGAUGUAAAAAAAUCGAUUAAUUAAAAAAAAAGAAAAAAAAGAUAGCAAUAUUACCAGUUGGAGCGAGACAGAGGAAAAGGAGUGAGUAGAGUAGAUAGAUCUGCAAUCAAAAGUUCUGUAGGAAAAAUAGCUUGGAUUUGGAGUGCGGCGGAGGAUUCCAAAGAAAAAGAGAUCGCUAUGUGCUAAUGCGUGCGAGGAGGACUGAUUUUGGGGCCGGAAGAGCGGCUACCCUGCCGCUGGUGCUGGGUGGACGCGGAUCGAGUUGGCCCAGAUUUGAGCUGGGGAAUAUGAUGAGUAGGGACUGGCGUUCUCCUUCACCUUUUACUUCAUCGAUAAGGAAAGCGAAUAGGAAGACUUGCUAUUUUCUGGAAUACAUUCUAUUAUUAUCGAAAAAUAAGGGAAUGUUAUUCAAUUUUAUUAUCAAGAAAGGACAUGUGACCUGAAAAUAUCGAUACCUU
rnacentral:lncRNA from 1 species